GACGAACGCUGGUGGCGUGCCUAAUACAUGCAAGUCGAGCGGACCAAUAGAAGCUUGCUUCUGUUGGUUAGCGGCGGACGGGUGAGUAACACGUGGGCAACCUGCCUGUAAGACUGGGAUAACUUCGGGAAACCGGAGCUAAUACCGGAUAAUUCAUCCCCUCGCAUGAGGGGAUGUUGAAAGUCGGUUUACGCUGACACUUACAGAUGGGCCCGCGGCGCAUUAGCUAGUUGGUGAGGUAAUGGCUCACCAAGGCGACGAUGCGUAGCCGACCUGAGAGGGUGAUCGGCCACACUGGGACUGAGACACGGCCAGACUCCUACGGGAGGCAGCAGUAGGGAAUCUUCCACAAUGGACGAAAGUCUGAUGGAGCAACGCCGCGUGAGCGAUGAAGGCCUUCGGGUCGUAAAGCUCUGUUGUUAGGGAAGAACAAGUAUCGGAGUAACUGCCGGUACCUUGACGGUACCUAACCAGAAAGCCACGGCUAACUACGUGCCAGCCGCCGCCGUAA
rnacentral:rRNA from 1 species